AGUGAACGCUGGCGGUAGGCCUAACACAUGCAAGUCGAACGGCAGCACAGUAAGAGCUUGCUCUUACGGGUGGCGAGUGGCGGACGGGUGAGGAAUACAUCGGAAUCUACUUUUUCGUGGGGGAUAACGUAGGGAAACUUACGCUAAUACCGCAUACGACCUACGGGUGAAAGCAGGGGAUCUUCGGACCUUGCGCGAGUGAAUGAGCCGAUGUCGGAUUAGCUAGUUGGCGGGGUAAAGGCCCACCAAGGCGACGAUCCGUAGCGGGUCUGAGAGGAUGAUCAGCCACACUGGAACUGAGACACGGUCCAGACUCCUACGGGAGGCAGCAGUGGGGAAUAUUGGACAAUGGGCGCAAGCCUGAUCCAGCCAUACCGCGUGGGUGAAGAAGGCCUUCGGGUUGUAAAGCCCUUUUGUUGGGAAAGAAAAGCAGCAGGUUAAUACCCCGCUGUUCUGACGGUACCCAAAGAAUAAGCACCGGCUAACUUCGUG
rnacentral:rRNA from 1 species